rnacentral:rRNA from 1 species
CAAAGCACUUUGAAGAGAGAGUUAAAGAGGACGUGAAACCGAUGAGGUGGAAACGGACAGAGCUGGCGUAUCUGGCUUGCAUUCAGCCGCUGCGCGYCGGGCCCCGGUUUGCCGCACUCCAGAUUGGGAAGGUGGCUGGGCCGCUGGCGUGUCAGUGGUGCAUUUGCAGGUGGAGUGCGCCGAGGCGCUCGGUUCAGCGGCAUGAGCUCAGCYUUGAGGCCAACCGUGCAAGCGGUCUGGUACCCGGGCUGGGGGAGUGUUGUUUGGGCUGGGUGUUCGCUUGGGCAAUGGUUUCGGGCCCGGGUGGGUGCCGAGCUGGCGGUCGGCGGCGGUCGCGUGCGACACGUGCCAGCAGUCAGUUCGGUCCUGCUCGAGCUCUCAUCUGUCCGGCCUCGGUGUAAAAGCCGGUCAUCUGUCCGACCCGUCUUGAAACACGGACCAAGGAGUUUAGCGUGUGCGCGAGUCAUUGGGCGUUGAAAACCCAAAGGCGCAAUGAAAGUGAAGGUMUGCCUUGUGCAGCUGAUGUGUGAUCCUGGGCGCUGCGGUGCCCGGGCGCAACAUAGUCCCGUCCCGACUGCWUGCAGUGGGGCGGAGACAGAGCGUACGCGCUGAGACCCGAAAGAUGGUGAACUAUUCCUGAGCAGGAUGAAGCCAGAGGAAACUCUGGUGGAAGUCCGAAGCGAUUCUGACGUGCAAAUCGAUCGUCUGACUUGGGUAUAGGGGCGAAAGACUAAUCGAACCAUC